CCUACGGGAGGCAGCAGUGAGGAAUAUUGGUCAAUGGGCGCGAGCCUGAACCAGCCAAGUAGCGUGAAGGAUGACUGCCCUACGGGUUGUAAACUUCUUUUAUAAGGGAAUAAAGUGAGGCACGUGUGCCUUUUUGUAUGUACUUUAUGAAUAAGGAUCGGCUAACUCCGUGCCAGCAGCCGCGGUAAUACGGAGGAUCCGAGCGUUAUCCGGAUUUAUUGGGUUUAAAGGGAGCGUAGGUGGGUUGUUAAGUCAGUUGUGAAAGUUUGCGGCUCAACCGUAAAAUUGCAAUUGAUACUGGCAGCCUUGAGUACAGUAGAGGUAGGCGGAAUUCGUGGUGUAGCGGUGAAAUGCUUAGAUAUCACGAAGAACUCCGAUUGCGAAGGCAGCCUACUGGACUGCGACUGACAUUGAGGCUCGAAAGUGUGGGUAUCAAACAGGAUUAGAUACCCGGGUAGUC
rnacentral:rRNA from 1 species